GGGGAGGGGCUGAGACUGUGUGAGUUCUGUUCCGUUCCCACAGGCUGCGUGAAGAUUGUGAAUCUGCGGGGGGAGAGGAGCAACGGGUCGGCCGAGCUGAGCUUCAACUUCUGUGUACAGACAGUGGUUUGUCUCCAGGACAGCGUGCUGGCGUUCUGGACCCACGGCAUGCAAGGUCAAAGCCUCCAGUCUAAAGAGAUAACUCAGGAGAUCACAGAUGAAUCUCGAAUGUUUCGUGUUCUGGGCACCCAGAGGGACAUUAUCCUGCAGAGCAUCCCCAGCGAUGACCCCGGGGCUCACAGCAACCUGUACAUCCUGACGGGACACGAGAGCUCCUACUGACCCUGUGGGAGGAGGGGGCUCGGACCGACCCGGACCACCCCCCCCCUCCCUCCCCACCGCACGCUGGGACCCGCUCACCGGAGAGGGAGCACUGGCCGGAGGUGACCGGGGCGGUGGGGGGGGAG